UACUCCUAGUAAUCUUGCGUUUUCUGUGCUCGCCUCGUUUUAAAAGAAUUAUUCCUUUUUUUUGGUUUUUUAGGUCCUUAACAUGUUACCGGAAAAACGCGACCUUAGACUUUUAGCGCUUUACGAAUUCAAAUUGGGCCACACUGCAGCAGAGGCGAGCCGUAAUAUCAACAGGGCAUUUGGGGAUGGAUCAGCUUCAGAACGCAAUGUUUACCGCUGGUUCACUAAAUUCCGUCAAGGAGAUAAAAGCCCGGAGGCUCAGCCACGUUGUGAUCGACAGUCAUUUUUCGACGACGACCGCCUGAACGCAGUAGCUGAAGAAAAUCCUCGGAAAUCGUAUGAAGCAUUGACAAAAGAAUUAGGGGUAUGCAAAGAAACCGUUCGCAUCCACCUCCAUUAAACGGACAAGACAAAAAACAAAACUCGACCAAUGAGUACCACAUGUUCUGAAAGGAGGGACGGACGGGGGCAUUCGUAUCGCUGCGUGAGAGGUGAAAUUCUUGGACCGUAGCGAGACGUCCGACUGCGAAAGCAUUUGCCAAGAAUGUCUUCAUUAAUCAAGAACGAAAGUCAGAGGUUCGAAGGCGAUCAGAUACCGCCCUAGUUCUGACCGUAAACGAUACCAACUAGCGUUCCGUCGGCGGUAAAUACGCCUUGACGGGCAGCUUCCCGGAAACGAAAGUCUUUCGGUUCCGGGGGAAGUAUGGUUGCAAAGCUGAAACUUAAAGAAAUUGACGGAAGGGCACCACCAGGAGUGGAGCCUGCGGCUUAAUUUGACUCAACACGGGAAAACUCACCUGGCCCGGACACCGUGAGGAUUGACAGAUUGAGAGCUCUUUCUUGAUUCGGUGGUUGGUGGUGCAUGGCCGUUCUUAGUUGGUGGAGUGAUUUGUCUGGUUUAUUCCGAUAACGAGCGAGACUCUAGCCUACUAAAUAGUCAUCGGAUAAACAAGUCCGGAAGACUUCUUAGAGGGACAAGCGGUGUUCAGCCGCAUGAAGUUGAGCAAUAACAGGUCUGUGAUGCCCUUAGAUGUCCAGGGCUGCACGCGCGCUACACUGGAGGAAUCAGCGUGCUGUAACCAUUGCCGAAAGGUAUUGGUAACCCGUUGAAAAUCCUCCGUGAUCGGGAUCGGGAAUUGCAAUUAUUUCCCUUGAACGAGGAAUUCCUAGUAAGUGUGAGUCAUCAGCUCACGUUGAUUACGUCCCUGCCCUUUGUACACACCGCCCGUCGCUGCCCGGGACUGAGCCGUUUCGAGAAAAGCGGGGACUGCUGUUUCGAGACCUUCCGAGGUGGAGAUUCUUUGGUGGAAACCGCCUUAAUCGCAGUGGCUUGAACCGGGCAAAAGUCGUAACAAGGUUUCCGUAGGUGAACCUGCGGAAGGAUCAUUA
rfam:Toxocara canis scaffold950, whole genome shotgun sequence.